rnacentral:tRNA from 1 species
AGAUUUAAAAAUAUAGAAAUAUCAUUUUCUAA